GCCCUCUGCCCGGAGACCUCUGGGUUCUGAGCUGUGACGUGGCUUCGGAGCUGGGAUCUCGGGGGUCUUGGUUCAGGGUUU
rfam:Equus caballus chromosome 10, whole genome shotgun sequence.